rnacentral:rRNA from 1 species
UACGUAGGGUGCGAGCGUUGUCCGGAAUUAUUGGGCGUAAAGAGCUCGUAGGCGGUUUGUCACGUCGUUCGUGAAAACCUGCAGCUUAACUGUGGGCGUGCGGUCGAUACUGGCAUCACUGGAGUUCGGCAGGGGAGACUGGAAUUCCUGGUGUAGCGGUGAAAUGCGCAGAUAUCAGGAGGAACACCGGUGGCGAAGGCGGGUCUCUGGGCAUUACCUGACGCUGAGGAGCGAAAGUGUGGGGAGCGAACAGG